CCCUUAGAUGUUCUGGGCCGCACGCGCGCUACACUGAUGCAUUCAACGAGUCUAAAACCUGCUCUGAUAGGGGUGGGUAAUCUUUUGAACGUGCAUCGUGAUUGGGAUAGAUGAUUGAAAUUUUUCAUCUUCAACGAGGAAUGCCUAGUAAACGCAAGUCAUCAGCUUGCAUUGAUUACGUCCCUGCCCUUUGUACACACCGCCCGUCGCUCCUACCGAUUGAAUGAUCCGAUGAAUAUCAUGGAUUGAGGAUGCAAGUAGGUUCACCUAUCUUCAUCUUCGAGAAGUGAAGUAAAUCUUAUCAUUUAGAGGAAGGAGAAGUCGUAACA
rnacentral:rRNA from 1 species